rnacentral:rRNA from 1 species
UACGAAGGGGGCUAGCGUUGUUCGGAAUUACUGGGCGUAAAGCGCGCGCAGGCGGUUCUCCAAGUCAGUGGUGAAAGCCCGGAGCUCAACUCCGGAAAUGCCAUUGAAACUGUUGAACUUGAGGACGAGAGAGGUGAGUGGAAUUCCCAGUGUAGAGGUGAAAUUCGUAGAGAUGUGGAGGAACACCUGUGGCGAAGGCGCCUUGCUGGCCGAUUUCUGACGCUGAGGCGCGAAAGCGUGGGGAGCAAACAGG